rnacentral:rRNA from 1 species
CUACGGGACGCUGCAGUGGGGAAUAUUGCACAAUGGGGGAAACCCUGAUGCAGCAACGCCGCGUGGAGGAUGACGCAUUUCGGUGUGUAAACUCCUUUUAUAUGUCAAGAAAAUGGCGGUAGCAUAUGAAUAAGCACCGGCUAACUCCGUGCCAGCAGCCGCGGUAAUACGGAGGGUGCAAGCGUUACUCGGAAUCACUGGGCGUAAAGGACGCGUAGGCGGGUUGGAAAGUCAGGUGUGAAAUCCUACAGCUUAACUGUAGAACUGCACUUGAAACUUCUAAUCUAGAGUAUGGGAGGGGGAGAUGGAAUUAGUGGUGUAGGGGUAAAAUCCGUAGAUAUCACUAGGAAUACCUAAAGCGAAGGCGAUCUCCUGGAACAUUACUGACGCUAAGGCGUGAAAGCGUGAGGAGCAAACAGGAUUAGAUACCCCCGUAGUC